UGCUGUGUAUUAUUUGCAGCAUAUUUUCGACGGAUUUCUUCCUUAGAUGUUUUUUGCGCACUUGGCGCCAAUGUCUCCUCAUCACCAUUUUGCGCUUCAGCUGCUGCUGAAUGUUACAGGAUCCAGACCCGAGGUGGAAAUGGAUUCUCCGAAACGAGCUCAUCAUGUCACGGAGAGAAAAACGAGCUCCAUCACAUGAUAGACGACGUGCGUCGGCGGCUCAAAGACAUUCAUCGCUCAGUCUGCAGAGCAGAUGACGUUCUACAACAGGAAACCCUUCACGUCUCAGCGUGAAACGGCAAACUGCAAGAGGAGAUGCAGCUCACAGCCUGUGUGGCAGAUGGGACACUCUUCUAAGGAAGUCAACACCCCUGAAGCUGCUUGAGCUCAAACAAUAACUACACUAAUGAAGAAUAACAUACAACAAUCAAGUAUCUUCCGGUGUUUUUGUGUCUUGUGAGUAUUAAAACAAGCUUAACAUCCCCUCUCCCAACAGCUCAGGGCCAGUCAGCUGCCUCCCAGCCCAGCUAUGGCUCCCCCUAGCCGUGCCUCCAUAUUUCCUUGUUAAUGCACACCAUAGUGCCCUGACCCUCCCUGUUCUAAUACACAGCAAAGACACCAAAAUACACCUGAAAACCUGACUUUCUCUCUCUAAAUGUGGAGUUUAUAGUCUCCAUCCACCUCCCAGCCAACAUUGGGCACCAUUGGCCAAAGCAGAAGAGAGGAU